rnacentral:rRNA from 1 species
GACGAACGCUGGCGGCGUGCUUAACACAUGCAAGUCGAACGAAGUGGCGAACGGGUGAUUACUACGUAUGUACCCUGUCCUCCUUUUUGGGAUAAGCCUUGGAACCGUGGUCUAAUACCGAAUAAAGGUGGAUGGGCUCUCGGCCUAUCUGCUUGUUGGUGGGGUGCUGGCCUACCAAGUCGGUGACGGGUAGCCGGCCUGAGAGGGUGACCGGACACAGUGGGACUGGGCUACGGCCCAGAGGCGGACGGUGGGGGGAAGAUGGGGAAAUGGCAGAAUGGGCGAGAGCCCGAUGCAGCGACGACGCAUGAGGGAUGAAGGCUGUCGUGUUGUAAAACUCUGUAGGUAUGGAACGGGUACGUGGAGAAGAAGCGCCGGCUAACUACGUGCCAGCAGCCGCGGUAAUAC